UGCAAGCUCCUUACCAUGCGCAACAUCCCACACUCAUGCCUUUCUCCACGUCACAAACAAGCUAUACACGUGCUUACCCUGAUCAGCCUUCAGCAGCAGCAGCACAGCAGGCCCAACUUCAGUUGCCUGCUCAUCUCACCAGCCCAUAUUGCAUUCCCCAUGCAAGUUCUAAGGCCUUGACAAAGCAGCCACAGCAUCAGCAGCAGCAGCAGCAGC
rnacentral:misc_RNA from 1 species